CAUGCAAGUCGAACGGAAGUUUAAGCAAUUAAACUCUAGUGGCGAACGGGUGAGUAACGCGUAAGCAAUCUGCCCCUAAGACGAGGAUAACAGUUGGAAACGACUGCUAAGACUGGAUAGGAGACAAGAAGGCAUCUUCUUGUUUUUAAAAGACCUAGCAAUAGGUAUGCUUAGGGAGGAGCUUGCGUCACAUUAGUUAGUUGGUGGGGCAAAGGCCUACCAAGACUAUGAUGUGUAGCCGGGCUGAGAGGUUGAACGGCCACAUUGGGACUGAGACACGGCCCAAACUCCUACGGGAGGCAGCAGUAGGAAAUUUUCGGCAAUGGAGGAAACUUUGACCGAGCAACGCCGCGUGAACGAUGAAGUAUUUCGGUACGUAAAGUUCUUUAUUUAGGGAAGAAUAAAUGAUGGAAAAAUCAUUCUG
rnacentral:rRNA from 1 species